rnacentral:rRNA from 1 species
AGUGAACGCUGGCGGUAGGCCUAACACAUGCAAGUCGAACGGCAGCACAGUAAGAGCUUGCUCUUACGGGUGGCGAGUGGCGGACGGGUGAGGAAUACAUCGGCAUCUACUUUUUCGUGGAGGAUAACGUAGGGAAACUUACGCUAAUACCGCAUACGACCUACGGGUGAAAGCAGGGGAACUUCGGACCUUGCGCGAUUGAAUGAGCCGAUGUCGGAUUGGCUAGUUGGCGGGGUAAAGGCCCACCAAGGCGACGAUCCGUAGCUGGUCUGAGAGGAUGAUCAGCCACACUGGAACUGAGACACGGUCCAGACUCCUACGGGAGGCAGCAGUGGGGAAUAUUGGACAAUGGGCGCAAGCCUGAUCCAGCCAUACCGCGUGGGUGAAGAAGGCCUUCGGGUUGUAAAGCCCUUUUGUUGGGAAAGAAAAGCAGCAGGUUAAUACCCCGCUGUUCUGACGGUACCCAAAGAAUAAGCACCGGCUAACUUCGUG